rnacentral:rRNA from 1 species
CUUAUGUAGAGUUUGAUCCUAGCUCAGGAUGAACGCUGGCGGCGUGGAUAAGGCAUGCAAGUCAAGGGGGCCCGCAAGGGCAACCGGCAAACGGGGUAGUAACGGGUGGGAACGUACCAAGAAGUCGUGAAUAACCAGUCGAAAGAUUGACUAAUACACGAUAGUCCCUACGGGGUAAAGAUUUAUCGCUUCUUGAACGGCCUGCCUCGUAUCAGCUAGUUGGUAAGGUAAUGGCUUACCAAGGCUAUGACGCGUAGGGGAGGUGAGAGCCUGACCCCCACCACUGGAACUGAGACACUGUCCAGACACCUACGGGUGGCUGCAGUCGAGAAUCUUCCGCAAUGCACGAAAGUGUGACGGAGCGACGCCGCGUGGUUGAUGAAGCACUUCGGUGCGUAAAGACCUUUUAUGAGGGAAGAAGUUUUGACGGUACCUCAUGAAUAAGAGGCUGCUAAUCUCGUGCCAGCAGCAGCGGUAAUACGAGAGCCUCAAGCGUUAUCCGGAAUUAUUGGGCGUAAAGGGUGUGUAGGCGGUAAUGUUAGUCUCAUGUCAAAGCCUGUCGCUUAACGACAGAUCCGCAUGGGAAACGGCAUAACUAGGAGGGUGCGAGAGGUGAAUGGAACUCAUGGUGUAGGGGUGAAAUCCGUUGAUAUCAUGGGGAACGCCAAAAGCGAAGGCAAUUCACUGGCGCAUACCUGACGCUGAAACACGAAAGCCAGGGUAUCGAAUGGGAUUAGAUACCCCAGUAGUCCUGGCCCUAAACGAUGACAACUAGCUUUUCGGAGUAUCGACCCUCUGAGAGGCGAAGCUAACGCGUUAAGUUGUCCGCCUGGGGAGUACGGCCGCAAGGCUAAAACUCAAAGGAAUAGACGGGGGCUCGCACAAGCGGUGGAUCAUGUGGUUUAAUUCGAUGCUAAACGAAAAACCUCACCGAGGUUAGAAAUGGAGACGAAUCUCAGAGGAAACUUUGAGAGCCUUCGGGCGGCUCCACAGGUGAUGCAUGGCUGUCGUCAGUUCGUGGCUUGAGCUGUUCCCUUAAGUGGGGUAACGAACGCAACCCCUAUUGUCUGUUACAAGUGUCAGGCAAGACUGCCCCCCAUCUGCGCAGAGCGCAGAAAUCCGAAAUACUAAAUCCGAAAUCCGAAACAAACACUUUCGAAUUUCGUGCUUAGUGCUUCGAAUUUUCUCGCACUACUGUGCGUAGAUGGGGGGGAGGAAGGCGGGGAUGACGCCAAGUCAGCAUGUCCCUCUGAUACCUCGGGCUACACACGUGAUACAAUGGAUGGUACAACAGGCAGCGACGGAGCGAUCCUGAGCUAAUCCUUAUAAAGCCAUCCUCAGUUCGGAUUGUAGUCUGCAACUCGACUACAUGAAGUUGGAAUCGCUAGUAAUCGCGGGUCAGCAUACCGCGGUGAAUACGUUCUCGAGCCUUGUACUCACCGCCCGCCAAGUCAAAGGAGCCGGGAGUGCCCGAAGUCCAUGCUCGUCAUGGCCGAAGGCAAGUUCGGUGACUAGGGUUAAGGCGUAACAAGGCACGGCUAGCGGAAGCUGGUCGUGGAUUUUGUCCAAU